rnacentral:rRNA from 1 species
UGUCUAUUAAUUGUAGACCAGUAUGAAAGGCAAAAUGAGGGUCCAACUGUCUCUUAUAAUCAAUCAAUUAAACUGAUCUCCUAGUAAAAAAGCUAGAAUCCCAACAUAAGACCAGAAGACCCUGUGAAGCUUAAACUAAACUAUUAAACCACAUAAUAACUACUUUCGGUUGGGGCGACCUUGGAAAAAAAAAGAACUUCCAAAUACAUGACUUUAACUCAUUCCCUCAGGCCCACAAGCCUCUAAAACGACCCAGCAUAGCUGAUAACUGAACCAAGUUACUCCAGGGAUAACAGCGCCAUCUUCUUCAAGAGUCCAUAUCAAAAAGAAGGUUUACGACCUCGAUGUUGGAUCAGGACAUCCUAAUGGUGUA